rnacentral:rRNA from 1 species
CACGUAGGGUGCGAGCGUUGUCCGGAAUUAUUGGGCGUAAAGAGCUCGUAGGCGGUGUGUCGCGUCGGCCGUGAAAACCUGCAGCUUAACUGUGGGCUUGCGGUCGAUACGGGCAUCACUGGAGUUCGGCAGGGGAGACUGGAAUUCCUGGUGUAGCGGUGAAAUGCGCAGAUAUCAGGAGGAACACCGGUGACGAAGGCGGGUCUCUGGGCCGAUACUGACGCUGAGGAGCGAAAGCGUGGGGAGCAAACAGG